rnacentral:misc_RNA from 1 species
GAUGAAGAACGUAGUGAAAUGCGAUAAGUAGUGUGAAUUGCAGAAUUCAGUGAAUCAUCGAAUCUUUGAACGCACAUUGCGCCCCUUGGUAUUCCAUGGGGCAUGCCUGUUCGAGCGUCAUUUGUACCUUCAAGCUCUGCUUGGUGUUGGGUGUUUGUCUCGCCUCUGCGUGUAGACUCGCCUCAAAACAAUUGGCAGCCGGCGUAUUGAUUUCGGAGCGCAGUACAUCUCGCGCUUUGCACUCAUAACGACGACGUCCAAAAGUACAUUUUUACACUCUUGACCUCGGAUCAGGUAGGGAUACCCGCUGAACUUAAGCAUAUCAAUAGCGGAGGA